GGCCCCGUAGUGUAGCGGUUAUCACGUCGCCCUGUCACGGCGAAGAUCGCGGGUUCGAUUCCCGUCGGGACCG
rnacentral:tRNA from 1 species